UGGGGCGUGGCCAAGUGGUAAGGCAUCGGGUUUUGGACCCGAUACGCGAAGGUUCGAAUCCUUUCGUCCCAG
rnacentral:tRNA from 2 species